GGGGAACUUGUUCACACUAACCUUCAUUAAUUGCAUAAAACAGUUUCACUCUACAUUCACCAUCACUGCAAGAGUUUAAGGCUGAUGAGGAGCAAAUGGUGGCAGUGGAGGCCAUUUUCCAAACUUAGGGUGGUCGAAAUGCUUUGGGGGGUGAGGAGGAAGCUUAGGAAGGGGAGGGCAUGGCUUCUUAGGGAAUGAAGGAAUGUUUGGAAGUGGAGGAAGUGGCUUCUUAUAAACUGGAACUGGAGGAGGAAGUGGUUUCGUAUAUUCCGGAACUGGAGGGGGUUUAUAGAUUGGAACUGGGGGAGGAAGUGGUUUCUUGUAGACCGGAACUGGAGGGGCUUUAUAUACUGGAGGCUUGUAAACUGGAACUGGGGGAGGAAGUGGCUUCUUGUAUACUGGAACCGGAGGAGGUUUAUAGACUGGGGGCUUGUAUUCUGGAACUGGAGGGGGAAGUGGCUUCUCGUAUACGGGAACUGGAGGAGGUUUAUAGACUGGGGGAGGAAGUGGUUUCUCGUAUACUGGAACCGGAGGAGGGUUAUAGACUGGGGGCUUGUAAACUGGAACUGGAGGGGGAAGUGGCUUCUCGUAUACUGGAACCGGAGGAGGUUUAUAGACUGGGGGCUUGUAAACUGGAACUGGGGGAGGAAGUGGUUUCUCGUAUACUGGAACCGGAGGAGGUUUAUAGACUGGGGGCUUGUAAACUGGAACUGGAGGGGGAAGUGGCUUCUCGUAUACUGGAACCGGAGGAGGUUUAUAGACUGGGGGCUUGUACACUGGAACUGGGGGAGGAAGUGGUUUCUCGUAUACUGGAACUGGAGGAGGUUUAUAGACUGGGGGCUUGUAUUCUGGAACUGGAGGGGGAAGUGGUUUCUCGUAUACUGGAACUGGGGGAGGAAGUGGCUUCUUGUAUACUGGAACUGGAGGAGGUUUAUAGACUGGAGGCUUGUAGACUGGAACUGGAGGGGGAAGUGGCUUCUUGUAUACUGGAACUGGAGGAAGUUUAUAAACGGGAGGCUUGUAAACUGGAACUGGAGGAGGAAGUGGUUUUUUGUAUAUCGGAACUGGUGGGGGUUUGUAUAUUGGGAUUGGUGGCGGGAGAGGCUUCUUGUAGAUUGGAGGGAAUAGUGGGUGGUGGAAGCUUUUCACUGGCGGAACUGGCAACUCGGGCAGUGGAGGGUGCUUAAAGUGAGGCCAUAAGAAGGCUGAGGCACAUGUUAUUGGUGAAAAUUUCAGCUUUCCUUUCAGCCCAAAGCUGUGUUUCUCAUCACUCGUGGACUUGAAGACUAUCUUGGAGGACUCCAGGCCUUCAUGGGCAGGGCAAGCUGCAGCUGAUACACUGUGAAGCUGCGCAUAGCAUUCUUCCUUCAGUUUGCCAUCUUUAACCAAGUCCUGAGGAAGAGAUACUUUGAAGUUCCCUGCUUUGUCAAGCUCGCCAGACCCUCGUGUUUUGAACUCUCCUUUCUCUGGCUUGCAGUCUAUGGUUACGCGAAGCCCUGCAAAGGAGAAAGAGACAAAACACAUAAGAUCAUUAAUCAUUAUUGCAAUCUGUGUUACAGGGACCACACUAUUCAAUGACCCUCAUGAACAAGCAGACCAAGAAAUUGAAAGCUUUAUGUACUACUGGUAUAGAUCUGGUCAAGGGAUAAAACAAAUCUUUCAUAGUACAAAAUAUUGUAGUCGCUGCGCCCUGACUGUACUUGUAACUUGUUUCUCUACGUGUAUUAAACCAAGCUCAAGCCGAUCCCACCUAGCAUAUGUAAUGCAUGGACAGCGUAGGAAGCACCGUUGAGAUUUGACUACUAUUUACUCUAAUUGUAUGUACCUGAAAAUGCCUGGCUUGUCUCGAAGUUAUUCUCUGCGCAGUCUGCACAUUCUCCAACCCCGACGACCUCCACCGUUUUACCAUCAGCAUUGCAGAAACUUGCUACAAAUAGCAAGAACGACACCAAGAAGCACACAAGUGCUCCUCCACGACCCGGGAGGAUCUGCAUUGGGAACCAAGAAGCUUUACAGCCCCCCCCAAAACAGCAAACGAUAUUAGGAAACAAAAUCAAAAGAAUAUUCAGCCUACGAGCUGAGAAGCAAACAAGCUUGCUACAAAGCCUGACUGAUCAGUUGCAUACCCAAGGCUUAUUAUAUAAUGAUGUUAAGGGAAGCAAACUCAAAGGCUCACCGACACCACACUUAAAGGCCUCACAUGAGGCUAGGGACCCUUUGAGAUGACUUGUGUCAUGGUUUGAAAAAGAAAGUAACGUGCCAUACUGGCUUCAUCGACCAAAUGACAUUAUCUUCAUUGAAUGAGCUCUCAACUGCACACAGCUAAAUCUUGCUGUGUUUUUCUCAUCCCUUUAAACCUACUUACUAACCUUCAUAAAUAAUUUGCUUACAGAUAAAUUUGGGUUGAAUUACAAAAAAUUAUGGUCCUGCAAUCAUAACAAAGCUGCACUAACACUAAUAUUACUCGUUUUUUUUCUUUUUGAUACCCACAUAAUUGAUGAGCCUGAAAGGAGAGAAAUCUGUGACAGAAGAGUUUGUAUAUUUGUGGAACUUAUCAGCUUCACGUGAAUCAACCACAAUGCCAACCAAUUUAAGUACUUUAAAGGUCAAAUAAGUUGAAUUGCUUUCUCAUUAUAUACUUAUCAUAAGCUCAUUUUUGUGAGAACCCCGUCACUAGUUUUCUCUAAUUAGACAGGGUGCAGUUCAGCCAUGGCUUCCAAAAAUUUCCAUCUUAUUGAGCAAAAGAAGAGACUCUACGAAUGUGUAAGUUUUCUUCUUUUUUUUUUUCUUUUUAUUCGACAUAACUAUAUGGGCCCAUGGCUUCCAUUGUAUACACAAUUGACCGGAUAUUGAGCACGUCAAGUGAGUCUUAAAUGGGGCUAGCAGCUAAUAAUCAUUUCGAUGGAUUCAAGAAAUUCCUGAAUUUUACCAUUACUAAUCGGAUUGAUACAAUCAUGGUGGAUCCUUUUUCUGCCAUGAAAAUAGUUUUAUGAAGCAUUGCCCAAAAGGGGCAAGGCCUAUAAAUGAUAGCUUUUGAAUAAUUCUGUGCUAAUUUACAGUUAAUCACCAUGUGCAUCUUGCAGAUAGGGUGAGCUGUGCGGAUUCAUUACUUGCUGCAUAUCUAGCUACUUACUUGGUAGACGAGUUUCUGCACUGAUUAACAUGCAUGCCGUUUGAAAAUAAAUCCAUCAUACUCAUACAUAAGCAUAAGCUUAACUUUUUCAACAUAAUUUAGUUCUUCAACACUUGUUUUUCAACAUUAUAGGUCUUUGUCUGAUGAAACACUUGAUGGGAUUAUCAUAGGUCUUUGUCUGAUGAAACACUUGAUGGGAUUAUCAUAUGCUAAUUAAGCAUAAAGAAAUUGAUGCAUCCAUGGAAUUAAGGCAUAAAGCUGUCCCCCAUAAUCUGAAAAAAAAAAGAUCAGGGUUUAAUUAAUGUCGAAAAUUAAGUUAGAUGUCACAAUACAACAGAAUCGUGGGGUCAAAAGCUACCUUCUCAAUUUCAACAAAGACACCAUAACGCACCUUAAUAUUUGGUGAGGGAGGGAUUGUGGAUGAUACCUCUCCAUCAUCAUCAAGCUAUAUGACAUGUGCAUUAAGUUCUAGGAAUGUAAAUGUUUUUGACAAGAGGCAGAGGCAGGAGCAGGCGGCCAUUAACAAAUAAUUGCUAGCUUUCACCAUCAAAGGAUACCGCAAAUUUAGGUGAUGAAGAAUUGAAAUGACUAUGAAUUAAAUUAUGCACUAGUAGCAGUAGUAGUAUUUAGGUUCACAAUUAUGGGUUGACGUUGGACCUCUCUGGGGGUUGCUAGCUACACGAAUUUCCAUUUUGGCCUGUAAUGGUUAUGCGGAACCCUACGAAAGAUUAGGGCCUUUGGCAGUGCUUGGGUACCCCUAGGACUCGACAAAAGGCGGAGGGAUUUUAGAAUGAUCCAAUUCGUACUGCUGGUUUUUUACUUUCGGCUGAUUUUUAAUGCUUUCCGUUGAUAGAGGCACGGCACCUUGCUACUUGGGUGCAGUAAUUUACUAAUUUUACAUUCCCUGACACGGGACUUUAAUGAUCACGAUCAGAUAUAUUAAAUUAGUACAUUCGUAUGCAUUGAAAGUAGCAGAGGCCGUGAGCAAGAGGGAAAUUCCAUGAUUGGAGCAGGAUAACAUUAUGUGAUCUAAAAAAAUUCCUCAGGUUUUAAAUAAAACGUAUCCUUCUGCCUCAUACUGGAGUUAGUUUUGCUUCAAAAAGGCCCAAUUUCAGUUUCAUCAUGCAAAAUAAAUGUCAAAAAAAAAAAUUUCUUUCACAUGCUACAACAGCGAGGUAUGUCUUUUCCUGGCCUAACUCUCAAACUACUUCUGCCCUCACUUAGAAUUUCCAAAUGCCUAGCAUACCGUCAUCUACUUCUUCUUCUUUGAUUUGGAAGCUGACUGAGUGUAAGCAGUUCCCUGAAAAUUAUGACAGCCAAAAACAGGAAAUUAUCAGGCAACAUUCCUCCAGAGACCGUUACUGAUUAAUGAAGUAUACAAGAAACUCAUAAUUCUAUAUUUAGGACAAAGGUCCAUAUCCCCGACAGUAUGCCCAUUGAAUAAACAGAUAUAAGUAGUCGGGGUGAAAGGAGUGAUAUGAAAAGCAAAGUUAACUGCAAUUGAAAAAUUAUGGGAAUUGAUAAUGAUGCAUAAGCCAUAACCUGAAGCCAUUCAUCCAAUGAGGCAUCAGUAGUCCCAGUUCCGACUUCCACCUUUGGGGCCCUCUUAGUUUUCUAGCAAAAAAAAUAAAGGCAAAUGAAUUAGGUUUAUUCCAUAAAAAAAAACAUAAACAUGUAUAUAGAUACAAGCAAUUCUCCCUCUGUCUCUCUCUCUCUCUCUCUCUUUAUAUGUGUACAUGCCACAGGUAAGUAACAUUGCCAGUUGAAGCUUUCUUCAAUGCAAGAACAAAAAUCACAAAUUUAUAAUAAUCCCAGCACAAAAGCUUGCUGACUAUCAUUCAUGCUAGAACGAUGUAGAUUUGCCACCAUGUAUACAUGCGUGCUUUUUUUGAGAGAUAAACAACAAUAUUUUUAUUAACAGAAAGCCUUAUUAGAUUGAAUCUUACAAUAACUAGUUUCAAACACGUCUUCGUGUCUCAUGCAAACUGUAUUGUCGUACAUAGUUACUGGAGUAAAUUAACAAUAAGAACUGCAAGGAGGUUUGGAAUACCUUGGAGAUACGCUGAAACUGACCAUGAAGCCAUAAACCAAGGAGAACAAGAAGUGCAAUCCCAAGGGUAACAAGAAAAACAGACUCAACACUGAGGAAACCACCAGCCUCAACAACUUCAAUGGUACCAUUAUAGAAUGUACUUUGGUAUGGGUGCUGGUCAAUAUCAUAGACAAUGGUACCCACGAGAUCAAAAGUUCCAGGCUGUGUGAAAGGUGUCUAGAUGUGUAAGCUUAACAGCAACACGUCAUUCUCACAAAAAGAAUUUAUUUACAGUUCUAAGGCAUAAAUCUCCCAGAGCAGUCAUUUACCUGUAAGUACUUGCUAACAGCAAAUAUAUAAGGGAAAGUAGCUUGAGCUGAGGCAGGUACAGUUGCAUUGUUGAAGGCCUGCAUUGAAACAUACAUUUUCAGUUAACACAAUCUACAAGCAAAUAUCACAAGGCAGUUUCAAUCCAACAACUUAGGCUGCAAAACUCCAAGACAAUGAGGUGCAUGAUCAACUUUGUGGCAACAAAGAAGCCCAAGAUCUUUUUCAAAUAAUGCAACAAGCAUUGAUAAUAAAGUAAGAAAAAAACUCAAACCUUAAACCACAGAAUAGUCAAAAGCCAGUGACACAGCAUUAUAACCGCACAGUGAGCAACUAGAGCAUAAGUGUCUAAACUGUGUUUCCACACUCAGUCUCAUAUCAUAAAAUCAUCGUACAGUCCACACUUAUCAGUUAAAGAUACAGAAGAAUCUACAUUAGCCGAAACUGUCUGCUAUUGUUUCUUAAACUGAGAUCUAACAUCUCAAUGCCAGCUCAACUUCCAUCCAUCAUAUUAAUCAGCAUUGGCUAGAAUUAUAGACUCCAAUAUAACUGUUAGAGCUGAUUAAUGUAGCUAAGCAGCUGCAAAGGGAACACAAACUAAUCUGUUGCAAUGCAUAAAACUCAUAUUAUUGGCCAUAUGUUUGACAAGGGAUAUUUAAAACAUUACAUAAAGAUGCCAUAUCAAAAAGAUAACAUUAAUUAUUCAAUGCCUUUAGACGUGUAGACAACAUCAGAUAACCAAGCAAAUAUGAAAGUAAUCUAGAAGAAGAAACACAAUAAAUGCUUAAUCUUAUUUAUAAAAACUAAAGCACUAUAUAUUCAGAUAUGCAAAAUUUUUUCAGUUUGAAAAUACUAGAAAUUAAUCAAAAUGAAAAGCAAACUAUAAUGAAUGGAUCAUGAUUGUGGGUGUUUGAAAAUUUUAACCAGCACAAUAUUUAUAAAACCUAUGAUUACCUGUACUGUAAGAUUUUGAACAAGCAAAUGAUGAUCAAAAGGAAGAUGAACACUGGCUUUGAUUGCAAUGACAUUCACAGUUGACUCCCCUGCAAUUUAAAGAAGUAAGUUAAGCAUAGGAGAGGAGGAAACCCUGUAUAGCUAACCAAAAAGAGGCAAGCAUUUAAGUGUAGCCAACAGAAGGCAGAUAAAUUAACCUAUUUCAACACCUAACAUCACAUUUCAUUGUAAAACAAGCCAGUAAUGUUGUGAAGAUGAAUUAAUUACCAAC
rnacentral:lncRNA from 1 species